GCCUCUUAUCCCCAAAGCUCAGGGCUUUUAUUCCAAACACUAGGGGCACAAGCUUUCGUCUUAUGGGUCGCAGGUCAGUGAUUCAGUUUAGUGCAAUGGAGAAGACAGAUUUAAGGAAGACCCUGUCCUCUUGAGUAGAAGCUCCUUGGGUACACAGGGAUGGUUUCAUCUGGUGUAUCUGUAAUCACAGCACCUUACAAGAUGCCUGGAAUAUAUUGCCCUGUUGCCCCCCAACAAAGACCUCUUCCAUCAGAGGGAGGAAAGGAAAACAAAUCAGUGUGGACAUCUGUGAUCCCUCACUUCUCUGCCCAGAGCUGGUUUCUCGCUGUCUUCAGGAUUGGUCCCCAAGCUGGCCAGAUCCUCAGAGCUGAUUUGCCAUCUUUGUCAUUUUCUCAGAUUAUUGUGCAAUUUUAAAAUUAAUCAAUCAAACAUGCUCCUCACACUCAGAAAAGUCUGACCAGUUCUGGACACUGACUGGGAUGUGAAGACACCAUCUGUCAUUGUGGUUGCUACGGCCUCAGAUUCAACUAAAUCUCCCCUCCUCCAGCUCUGGACAAACAGCAAUCUAUGUCUUAGUAUUGACUCCAAUGGACUCUGAACUGAUGGUUAAAUAUCCCAGAGUGAAUUCUACAGAUCAUGGCNGCAAAAA
rnacentral:lncRNA from 1 species